rnacentral:hammerhead_ribozyme from 1 species
AUCCGGCUGACGAGUCCCAAAUUGGACGAAACGCGCGUCCUGGAU